rnacentral:rRNA from 1 species
AUUGAACGCUGGCGGCAUGCCUUACACAUGCAAGUCGAACGGCAGCACGGGAGCAAUCCUGGUGGCGAGUGGCGAACGGGUGAGUAAUAUAUCGGAACGUGCCCAGUCCGUGGGGAUAACGUAGCGAAAGUUACGCUAAUACCGCAUACGAUCUACGGAUGAAAGCGGGGGAUCGCAAGACCUCGCGCGAUUGGAGCGGCCGAUAUCAGAUUAGGUAGUUGGUGAGGUAAAGGCUCACCAAGCCGACGAUCUGUAGCUGGUCUGAGAGGACGACCAGCCACACUGGGACCUGAGACACGGCCCAGACUCCUACGGGAGGCAGCAGUGGGAAUUUUGGACAAUGGGCGCAAGCCUGAUCCAGCAAUGCCGCGUGCAGGAUGAAGG